rnacentral:tRNA from 1 species
AGCGGCAUAGCUCAAUUGGAAGAGUACCUGGUUCUGACCCAGGGGGUUGUUGGUUCGAACCCAGCUGCCGCUGCCA